rnacentral:rRNA from 1 species
UACAGAGGGGGCAAGCGUUGUUCGGAAUUACUGGGCGUAAAGGGCGCGUAGGCGGCCAACUAAGUCAAACGUGAAAUCCCUCGGCUUAACCGGGGAACUGCGUCUGAUACUGGAUGGCUUGAGUUUGGGAGAGGGAUGCGGAAUUCCAGGUGUAGCGGUGAAAUUCGUAGAUAUCAGGUGGAACACCAGUGGCGAAGGCGGCUUUCUGGACGGUAACUGACGCUGAGACGCGAAAGCGUGGGGAGCAAACAGG